CAGCAGAGUCGGCAGAUAGAUGACACAGAAAGCUGAGAGACUGGAGGGCAGAGUCUUGAAGAAUGUGGGAUUUCCUAAUCUUACAGUUCCCAACUUGGACCCAAGAUAAGACAGUUUCCUGGACCUUUUGUUGUUGAAGGCAGGGAAGCUAUUAUCAUCCUGUGGUGCCUAGUAUAGGCUGUCCUUUGACUUGGCCACACGUAUUCAAACAGAUGUUAAAGGCAAGGGAAACAAAAGAAAAAAUAAGCAAGUGGGACUACAUCAGACUAAAAAAAUUCUGCACAGCAAAGGAAACUGUCAACAAAAUGAAAGGACAA